UACGUAGGGGCCUAGCGUUGUCCGGAAUUAUUGGGCGUAAAGAGCUCGUAGGCGGUGUGUCGCGUCGGCCGUGAAAACCUGCAGCUUAACUGUGGGCUUGCGGUCGAUACGGGCAUCACUGGAGUUCGGCAGGGGAGACUGGAAUUCCUGGUGUAGCGGUGAAAUGCGCAGAUAUCGGGAGGAACACCGAUGGCGAAGGCAGGUCUCUGGGCCGCUACUGACGCUGAGAAGCGAAAGCGUGGGGAGCGAACAGG
rnacentral:rRNA from 1 species